ensembl:lncRNA
CAGGUGUAGGUAGACCUUACAGUGAAAUGCUGAAUACAACAGGUGUAGUAGACCUUACAGUGAAAUGCUGAAUACAACAGGUGUAGGUAGACCUUACAGUGAAAUGCUGAAUACAACAGGUGUAGGUAGACCUUACAGUGAAAUGCUGAAUACAACAGGUGUAGGUAGACCUUACAGUGAAAUGCUGAAUACAGCAGGUGUAGUAGACCUUACAGUGAAAUGCUGAAUACAACAGGUGUAGUAGACCUUACAGUGAAAUGCUGAAUACAACAGGUGUAGGUAGACCUUACAGUGAAAUGCUGAAUACAACAGGUGUAG